rnacentral:SRP_RNA from 1 species
GCUGGGCGUGGUGGCGCACGCCUGUAAUCCCAGCUACUCAGGAGGCUGAGGGAGGCGAAUCACUUGAACCUGGGAGGCGGAAGUUGCAGUGAGCCGAGAUCGUGCCACUGCACUCCAGCCUGGGCGACAGAGUGAGACUCCAUCUCAAAAAAUAAAGCCUUUUUUUUUUUUUUUUUUUUUUUGAUACGGAGUCUCGCUCUGUCGCCCAGGCGGGAGUGCAGUGGCGCAUCUCGGCGCACUGCAAGCUCCGCCUCCCAUGUUCACGCUAUUCUCCCGUCUU